rnacentral:tRNA from 4 species
GUGCCCAUAGUUCAGUUGGUUAGAGCGUCAGAUUGUGGUUCUGAAUGUCGUCGGUUCGAAUCCGACUGGGCACC